AGGCCUGCAAGUGGAAGCACCGGGGCCUCACCAGCGCCCCAGGGCAACGUGACGCGUACAAGCCGUGAACAGCUGAAGCCCGGGCACCGUGCCCUGGCCGAGGAGGAGAAGGUUGAGUUCAGAUGCCGCCUCUUCCAGGAAGGCCCUCCUUCCCAGCCCUGCGGACGCCCCGGCAUCCAUCGCAAGCCCUACAGUCCACGUGCAGUUGGAGCUGCUCCACAGCCUUGCCAGGUAGCAACAUUACAGAAGCUUCAGGUCGAUCAAGGCCAGGACAAAGAAACGAAAGAUGGAAACACAAAGAGUCCAGUAUGUGCUGGCACGCACGCCGCCUCCUGGCAAUCGCUCGUGUGCUGACAUCUGAAUUUACGCUGGUGGUAACAAGACUGAGAAAUAGCUUAUAGUUCAUCGUUAUAUUUACAACAGAGCUCGUCCCGAGGAUCCAGCUGACCCUGCGGGAGCCCUGCCUCUACUUUCAUUUGGGAAUCGCUGUGGAUCACGCUUCUGGGAUCGGAUGAGCGGCCACGCUCCAGUGAAGGCCAGACCCUACCCUGAAGCACCAGGCCCACCCUCCUGCUGCCCUGGGCCGGGCGCGGCAAUUCCACCCUCCCUGGCCUGCAUCGGCCCGAUUUCCCUCUUUCCUGGUCUUUCCAACUGGCACAGGAACGUGCCGUUACUCCUCUCCUCUCAGGAAAAAAGCCCCAAAUUCCUCUCGGCCCCAGUUCCCUGCAACUCCUGUCGGCAAACUUCUUAACGCGUUGUCUCUGUCUGAUGUUUGUCUCCGUCUGAGGUCAGAAACCCCCUCCUGUUGUCCUGCAGCCCUGGUCCGCCCCACCGCUCUGUCGCGCUCUUCUCCACGUUGCUUGACCCAAGGCGUAAUCUCCGUCUUUUGAGCUUGAAUCCCGUCAGCAUCUGCCUGCCAGAUCUCCCCUCCUCCCCUCCUCCCCUCCUCCGGGGCCUCUGGGUUCCUUCCCACCUCAUCAGACUCCUCCUUCUCGGCCUCCCCUUGGGGCUGCUCCCCGACAUCUGACCCUGGUGCGCUUGGCCCCGCCCUCCAUCGUCGUCCCUCUCUGCACGGGUGGCGGAGGGGGGUCUCCUCUCCCCGAUUUGAGCAUCAUCUCUGCGCCGGCGACCUGCUCAAUCCAAGCUCCAGGGCAGCCCCUUCUUCGAACUGCAGACCCACCUGGGCAGCUGGGUCCUGGGUCCCUCCGCUUAGGGGCCUGGUGGGCGUCUCAGGACGCGUGUCCUGUCCCCUCCAGCCUGCCCCCCGCGCCCCGCCCGUCUCGGCUGGGGUGAGCCCGUGUUCCUGUUGCACAGGCCACCCCGGGCCCCGCAACCUGA